GUGCUCACUUUAGCAACACAUAUAAUAAAAGAGGAACAAUAGAGAAGGUUAGCAUGGCCCCUGUGCAAGGAUGACAUGCAAAUUUGUGAAGCAUUCCAUAUUUUU